rnacentral:misc_RNA from 1 species
AAGUUUACGUUAGCUCUCAAAAUAAGAAGACAAGAAUAUGUCUAUUGCCCCAUAGAGAGAAUUUUUUGUAGUGAUGCAUUUGACUGUUAUACAGGUAUUUUAUGUUAUUUUUUCUCUCCAUCAUGGAAUUGGUGCUACUCACUUUAGAGGAGGAACAAUAAGUUGGAAACCUAUUGGCAAUGGAACAGAGGUUGAGUUUUCAUUCAAGCUUGGAUGGGCAUAUAACACAGGUCCGGGAUGUACUGCUGAGAGAAUUGGCCAGUUUAUCGACGAGGUAAUUCCUUAUUAUUGGAAAUGUACAGCUGGAUGUUCUACACCCCAAAAUAUCGCCAACACCAGUUAUAUAUGUACAGGAGCUAGUGAGUCUGAGAAUUGGGAGCAAGGAGAGAACACAUUCACCUAUACUUUUCCAGGAAUUGGCCCAUACACAGUUGAAUUUACGGGAAGUGACUGGAUAAAUAUGAGCUAUGGUUCGCCAGGGAGAUGGUCUAUUGGCACUGUUGUUAAUCUUUCAACAAGAAAUGACACAAACAAACCUAAUUUAAGUCCCAUCACGACUGGCAAGCCUAUCUAUGUCGCUCAGUAUGGAUGUGACAAUGAAAUUAGUAUUCCUGUUGUGGAUCCUGACGGUGAUGAAGUUAGAUGCCGCUGGGCCAAUGGUACCGAGUGUAUGUCGAUUUGUGAAGGCUUACCAUAUGCCACUAUUGAUUAUGAUAAUUGUACGAUAAGGUUCAUGGCAAACCACACAUCGAACGGAACUUUUGCAGUUGCAGUAACAGUUGAGGAUUAUCCGAAGUCUAAUAUUUCUGUUGAUGGCAGUAUUCAUUUAACAACUAGUCCUUUAUCAACAAUAACAUUACAAUUCAUUGUGGAGACACCAGUUCUACCUUCUGUCAACUGUACGGAUAAACCACGGUUCGUAAGACCCACUCUGGUAGAAGGAACCAUACUUCACACAGAUAUUUUGAAAGAUGUAAACAUUUACUUCUUUGCAUCUUCAAACAGAGGAAUAUCAAAUAUUGAAUUGACUGUCCCAGCAGGAAUGGAGUACACACCAGUUCAGUCUAACUUGUACAUUAAUUACUCAUUUGUCAAUUCAUCGUGGAUACCACAACAAAACCAAGUAGGGUUCCAUCUUGUCUGCGCCAUUGCAAUGGAUAAUGCUGGAAAAACGAGCGAGUCAAGAUGCAUUACAAUAGUUGUUAACGAUAUUAGUCCAUGCAACAGCUCUCCGUGUAAAAAUGGUGGAACAUGUGUUAGACAAAAAAUAACACAGAACUAUAUGUGCAACUGUCUACCUGGAUACACUGGAAAUGUUUGUGAUAAAGACAUUGACGAGUGUGCCAGUAGCCCCUGUCAGAAUCAAGGGAUGUGUAAUGAUCAUGUCAAUCAUUACGAAUGUACUUGUGUAGCAGGAUACAAUGGAUAUCAAUGUCAGAUAGAAAUUGAUGAAUGUACCGACCAUCCGUGCUCCUCACUGUUCGAUUGCCAAGACCUCAUAAAUCAGUACUCUUGUUCACUGAUGGCCAUUUUGGUGAUGUUAAUGUUGAUAGCAGGGGUUUUGACUUUACUUUUCUUCCUGGCAAAAAGAAGACGAUAUAAAGACGUUGAUCAUUCAUGGCUGGCAAAUUUUCAGGACAUUCGUAAACCAGACAGUCAGCCAAAACCUGUUUUCAGAACAAAGAUACAUGUACCUCAUAAGAAACUGCAGCAUAACUUGACAGAAGAUGAUUAGAAAACUGUAUUUCGCAUUUUUUAAAGAAGAAUAGCGCAAUUGAUUAGCUAUAUUGAGUGAUCCUUAAUAUCGACGAUCCUUUCUGUAUUUAUAUAUGUAUUUCGUUAGAUCGAAAAGCAUUGUCUGCAAUAAAAAGAUUUUAAAAAAUACACUUACAACACGCCUCGACCAAUCAUACAAUAAACUUGUUCUUUUUGGAAAGC